rnacentral:rRNA from 1 species
GUAUAUGGCCACGCCACCUCGAACAUGCCCAAUCUCAUCUGAUCUCGGAAGCUACGCAGGGUUGGGCCUGGUUAGUACUUGGAUGGGAGACCACCUAGGAAGACCAGUUGCUGUAGGUA